CCGCAACCAAGGCACAUGCCCUUGAUCAAAAUCAAACCUGGGACCCUUCUGUCCACAGGCCGAUGCUCUAUCCACUGAGCCAAACUGGUCUCGGCUCCUCACUGCUUCUUAGUUUACAAAGCAGUCAAUCAUUGUAUCAGAAAGCUACACUGCUAUAAGCUCAAGUACCAGCACUAGAAACAGGCCUCUCACUAAAGUCUG